CUCAAACGACAGCACGUGGACGGUGUCAAAACAACAACACGUCCGUGCAGUCGAACAAACGUGAGCUGCAGUACCUCAAAACAAAUGGCUGAGGGAAGUCUACAGGUCGUUUCAGCGAUUAGCAUAAGAGCUGAGAACAAAUUAAACAUUAAUACUCACAUUUUUGGGUAUCUCUUUCAGCAGUGGAGCUGCGUGAAACUUGUGUGUCAGCAUCAUCCUUGUGCUCUGCAAAACAAGACAGAAAAAGUCAACGAUAGGAAACAAACUCUAACUCCCAGUAUGGAUCGGAAAACGGGAAUUAUUUGGGUAGUAAAAGAGGCAAACGAGAACUUAAACAGAGAAGCAUUUGAAUUAUUAACGAGCAACUCAUAUUCAACUUGUUGAUUAGCGCGAAUGAGCAGGCAUGUCAAGCGGCAGCCAAUCAGCGCACGCGCCGAGAACAAUAGAGGCACGUUGAUUACGGUACCGGAAAUAGAUCCUCUCCGGUACGCAGCAAAGAGCUCAAGGCCUCAAACCAUGGGAUAGGGUUUUUAGCAUCGAUUUACGCGACCUACGCCUGUUUGGGGGCAAAAUGCAGGAAGUGAGAAUUGACGUACAGAAAGAAGCUAAAGAAACGUAGCGAGAAAACGGAAACUCGAAACUAAAGCGCAUCAGACAAAAACACAUCAUUUACAUACAAUGCACUUCAAUACAAUUAAACUUCCAGCGUCGAAAUACAUUAAGAGGGUUACAGCGAGGUAAGGGUUAUUCUAGAGAUAAUUAAUCAGCUGGACAAAAUAUCAUCUAUUAUAUCGUUUAUCCAAACGUCGGACAACCACUGAUUUCCUAAACCGCGAGCUCGAUAUUUUUAUCACGUCUAAUCGCGAGACGUGAGGCUACCGAGGCCUCCGUACAUAGAACCCCCAUUCCUCCACUCUAUAGAACGGUCACAUGUAUCAGCCGUUGUAAUCUAUAGGCCAUGUUUAGGAGUGUGUAAGCAUGUAAUAUCUUAUUUAGCCACGUCUUGGCACUUGAGACGAAUGUUUGCUCGCGACUGCCGAUGUGUCCAGCUUGAUAUGCACCACUAAGCAGCGCACGUAUUAGCCUCAGAGGGGCCGAAGGGGGCAAAGGAAAGUCGGCGAAAUAAGCGAUGAGCUCUGUUAUCGGAAGCAGUAUACGUGAUUACAAACGAACUUCGCAAAGUGCCGCAUUGUAGGAAUGCUCUUCAUACGGGUAGCGUUAAAAGAAGUUGAAGAUAUAGUUAUGCAAAUAAUGUAUUUAAUAUACAUUUGAGUGAAAAAGUGUGAAAUGUACCUGUCGUAGCGGCCAAUUGAAUAGAGCGGACUGUCAAGAUAGAAAGGGCACGCGCCGAUUGAGCCUACAAUUUACCGGAAACAAGCGCCCCCAAAAGAAUAACAGACAAGUUUAGUCAAUACCAGACAAUAAUAAUUCGCAAUAGAAGUAGAAAACAGUUUGUUUAGGGUUUUAAAAGGACAUGAAGCGGAAAAAGAACUGUCUGAUGAAGAUUGUAGGUUGUCUAUAAUGGAAGUAAACAUCGAAAAUGUGAAAA